AGCUGAUCACUGGGCGUAAAGCGUGCGCAGGCGGUUUUGUAAGACAGAGGUGAAAUCCCCGGGCUCAACCUGGGAACUGCCUUUGUGACUGCAAGGCUGGAGUGCGGCAGAGGGGGAUGGAAUUCCGCGUGUAGCAGUGAAAUGCGUAGAUAUGCGGAGGAACACCGAUGGCGAAGGCAAUCCCCUGGGCCUGCACUGACGCUCAUGCACGAAAGCGUGGGGAGCAAACA
rnacentral:rRNA from 1 species